CUUUCCCUCUCUUUGCCAUUUUCCCCUUGGUCAGCUCCUCGGUAUUUCCACAGGCCCAGAGCACUGCAAUCCUUAGAGGUGAGCACAACGUCU